rnacentral:rRNA from 1 species
GACGAACGCUGGCGGCGUGCUUAACACAUGCAAGUCGAACGGAAAGGCCCUGCUUUUGUGGGGUGCUCGAGUGGCGAACGGGUGAGUAACACGUGAGUAACCUGCCCUUGACUUCGGGAUAACUUCAGGAAACUGGGGCUAAUACCGGAUAGGAGCUCCUGCUGCAUGGUGGGGGGUGGAAAGUUUCGGCGGUUGGGGAUGGACUCGCGGUUUCUCAGCUUGUUGGUGGGGUAGUGGUAUAACAAGGCCUUGACGGGUAGCCGGCCUGAGAGGGUGACCGGACACAUUGGGACUGAGAUACGGCCCAGACUCCUACGGGGGGGAGGAGUGGGGAAUAGUGCAAAGUGGGCGGAAGCCUGGUGGAGCAGCGGCGCGUGCGGGAUGACGGCCUGCGGGUUGUAAACCGCUUUCGCCUGUGACGGAGCGUGAGUGACGGUAGUGGGUAAAGAAGCACCGGCUAACUACGUG